rnacentral:rRNA from 1 species
AUGGGUGGCCUCAGUGACGAGGCUCUCAUGGCAGCUCGCAGCCACCUGCUUGACAACAAGGCCCAGGGUGUUGGGUUUGUUGCCAUGGCAGACGCUCACAAGGGCAAGUGGUAUGCCGUGUUCAUCGGUAAGGCUCCAGGGGUUUACAGUUCAUGGGAAGAAGCCAGUGCACAAGUGGCAUCGUAUAGCAACAACAGCCAUAGAGGGUUCAAGACUAGGCAGGCAGCAGAGCAAGCUUACUCCGACUGGGUGCAAAAUCAUGGAGGCAGCAGUGUUGACAGUGGCAAGGUUGGAGGUGUCAAGGUGGAUCAUCAGUUUGGGCUGAAGCUGAAGACCUUCAUCAUCUUCGCCCAGUUCAUCGCCAUUGUUGUGUUGUGGCGUUGGUGUGCUAGGUGUGAUCAUUGUGGGUAA